UGGGACUAAUUGUAACCGGUCCUCUCUCUGCCUUUAUAACUGUGGGAUGGCGUAUUUCCAUCAACACUAUUCUAAACAAAACAGUUAAGGAAAAAGAGAGAGAAAACAUGUUUCUCAAGAGAAAGCAAAAUCAGAAGACUUCCGCUCAAGAAAUCAAGAAAACACUAAUGGAUUCGGGUCACAGGUUCGAGCCGGGGAAGCACCCUUGGGGUGCGGCCAUUUCCUGACCCUACUAACACUGGAUGCUUUAUGCACCGGGCUGCCCUAAACACCUGUUGAUCUCAAAAUUAUCUUUUUGCGAAUUGCUUUGCGACAAGUAUGUUGGUGCGGUGGAAAAAAGUUCAAAGGUGAAGCUGGGGUGUUUGGCCACAAAAUUCCUACUGUUAGUGGGGUCAAAGGAAGGUUUGUUGUGGUUGGAGUGAAGGAAUGAGAAGUGAUGUGAAGAUUGUGAGAGAAGAGGCUCUAGUUUCUUUUUCAUAUUCUUUUCUGGAAUGAUGUGAAUUGAGUCUUUUUAAUCAAAUCUAUUUUGUGUAGUUUGCAUACUUUGAAUUUUGCUUUUGAUGUCACGACACAAAACUGUCUUAAUUCUAGUUGAAUCAAUUUCUUUGAUCAACCAUUAGACUUUUGCUUAUAAAAUCUUUCUUUGUUUAAAACAAAGUUAAAUCUAAUUUUAUUCGGUCAUAGUCCUCAGUAACUUCACAUUUCCAAUCAUAGUUGUUCAUAACUUCUUGAUAUGUAAAGCCUGGCAUGAAAACGAAUUAUUUCCC